rnacentral:rRNA from 1 species
AUUGAACGCUGGCGGAAUGCUUUACACAUGCAAGUCGAACGGCAGCACGGACUUCGGUCUGGUGGCGAGUGGCGAACGGGUGAGUAAUGUAUCGAAACGUGCCCAGUCGUGGGGGAUAACGUAGUGAAAAUUACGCUAAUACCGCAUACGAUCUAUGGAUGAAAGCGGGGGAUCGCAAGACCUCGCGCGAUUGGAGCGGCCGAUAUCAGAUUAGGUAGUUGGUGGGGUAAAGGCCCACCAAGCCAACGAUCUGUAGCUGGUCUGAGAGGACGACCAGCCACACUGGAACUGAGACACGGUCCAGACUCCUACGGGAGGCAGCAGUGGGGAAUUUUGGACAAUGGGCGAAAGCCUGAUUCAGCCAUUCCGCGUGCAGGAUGAAGGCCCUCGGGUUGUAAACUGCUUUUGUACAGAACGAAAAGGUUUCUACUAAUACUAGGAGCUCAUGACGGUACUGUAAGAAUAAGCACCGGCUGACUACGUGCCAGCAGCCGCCGUAA